AUCACACCAACUUAAGACUGUCGUCCCCAGAUUCUACAAGGAUGUUGACAUUCAAACCAGGAAGGACAGAACACCAGACCAGGACUACACCAGACCAGGACUACACCAGACCAGACCAGACCAGACCAGGACUACACCAGACCAGGACUACACCAGACCAGGACUACACCAGACCAGGUCAACACCUGACCAGGUCAACACCUCACCAGGACUACACCAGACCAGGACUACACCAGACCAGGUCAACACCUCACCAGGACUACACCUCACCAGGACUACACCAGACCAGGACUACACCAGACCAGGACUACACCAGACCAGACCAGACCAGGACUACACCAGACCAGGUCUACACCUCACCAGGACUAGACCAGACCAGGACUACACCAGACCAGGUCUACACCUCACCAGGACUACACCAGACCAGACCAGACCAGACCAGGACUAGACCAGACCAGGUCUACACCUCACCAGGACUAGACCAGACCAGACCAGACCAGGACUACACCAGACCAGGUCUACACCUCACCAGGACUACACCAGACCAGACCAGGACAGGACUACACCAGACCAGGUCUACACCUCACCAGGACUAGACCAGACCAGACCUACACCAGACCAGGUCUACACCUCACCAGGACUACACCUCACCAGGACUACACCAGACCAGACCAGGACUACACCAGACCAGGUCUACACCUCACCAGGACUAGACCAGACCAGACCAGGACUAGACCAGACCAGGUCUACACCUCACCAGGACUAGACCAGACCAGACCAGGACUACACCAGACCAGGACUACACCUCACCAGGACUAGACCAGACCAGACCAGGACUAGACCAGACCAGGACUAGACCAGACCAGGUCUACACCUCACCAGGACUAGACCAGACAAGGUCUAUACCAGACCAGGUCUGCACCAACAUCUCUGGGGCCUACAGAGGUCC